rnacentral:rRNA from 1 species
AUUGAACGCUGGCGGCAGGCCUAACACAUGCAAGUCGAGCGGGGUUUUCGGACCUAGCGGCGGACGGGUGAGUAAUGCGUAGGAAGCUACCCGAUAGAGGGGGAUACCAGUUGGAAACGACUGUUAAUACCGCAUAAUGCCUACGGACCAAAGUGUGGGACCUUCGGGCCACAUGCUAUCGGAUGCGCCUACGUUGGAUUAGCUAGUUGGUGAGGUAAUGGCUCACCAAGGCGACGAUCCCUAGCUGGUUUGAGAGGAUGAUCAGCCACACUGGAACUGAGACACGGUCCAGACUCCUACGGGAGGCAGCAGUGGGGAAUAUUGGACAAUGGGCGCAAGCCUGAUCCAGCCAUGCCGCGUGUGUGAAGAAGGCCUUCGGGUUGUAAAGCACUUUCAGCGAGGAGGAAGGGGUGAGUGUUAAUAGUACUCAUCUUUGACGUUACUCGCAGAAGAAGCACCGGCUAACUCUGUGCCAGCAGCCGCCGUAAGAC